rnacentral:tRNA from 1 species
GGCUCCAUGGUCAAGUGGUUAAGACACCGCCCUCUCAAGGCGGUAUCAGGGGUUCAAAUCCCCUUGGAGUCA